UCCUCUUGCAAAUACUAUACCUGGAACCUGAACAAGUACUCGCUUUAAUAAAAAAGCGCCGCUAGCUAAAAUCCCAGUUUCAGAUUGCAAGUUCUUUAGCCACUGCUUAAACAGUGAUGAAUCAAUCGCACUCCUGAAAUUGGAAUUGGAGACGCCAGGGGCAGCGACGACCUGGACGGGUUGGCUGGGUUGACUGGGCAAAACGAGGGAGUGAGUGAGGGGCGGCGGUGACUCUGCCGACAUUUUGAGACAGAAUGGUCUUCUACUUCUGCGAGUUUGAUGUAGCAGAGAAAGAGACGGGGCUAUAACGGAGCAUUUUGCGAGUGCGAAACAAGACAUUGACGAAUGGAGUGGAAGCUUGAAGAAGAACGUAAGGAGCCCGAAAUUAUGUAUCCACG
rnacentral:misc_RNA from 1 species